UAGUAUAUAAGCUAGUAUAGUAUAUGGUGUAGUCAGUUCAUGAUCAGUAGCUGAAACAUGAAGUUUUUUGGAGCACUCUUGGCCAUCAUGGCUAUUGCCUUCGCUGCGGUGAGCGGGAUGAGCGCUCUGCCGAAGACCGCUGGGUGCAACGGUGGCGGGCCACCACCCGGACCCCCACCAAGCGGAGCCCCACCAACCAACUCGACCGGCUAAACUACAGCGACAAGGAUACUGCUACGACAUCGGCUAAAUCAAACAACAAAUAAAUAGUUGCACCAGUUUUA